GGGGCCGUGGGGUAGUUUGGACCAUCCUCCCAGCCUCGAGCGCUGGUGACCCGAAUUCAAAUUUCGGCGGCCCCA
rnacentral:tRNA from 1 species